UACGGGGGGGGGCAAGCGUUGUUCGGAAUUACUGGGCGUAAAGGGCUCGUAGGCGGCCAACUAAGUCGGACGUGAAAUCCCUCGGCUUAACCGGGGAACUGCGUCCGAUACUGGAUGGCUUGAGUUCGGGAGAGGGAUGCGGAAUUCCAGGUGUAGCGGUGAAAUGCGUAGAUAUCUGGAGGAACACCGGUGGCGAAGGCGGCAUCCUGGACCGACACUGACGCUGAGACGCGAAAGCGUGGGGAGCAAACAGG
rnacentral:rRNA from 1 species